GUCAUAGAGGUGUAUUUAACAUGGAGACAGGAGUAUAGAGGUGUAUUUAAUAUGGAGGAGUAUAGAGGUGUAUUUAACAUGGAGACAGGAGUAUAGAGGUGUAUUUAACAUGGAGACAGGAGUAUAGAGGUGUAUUUAACAUGGAGACAGGAGUAUAGAGGUGUAUUUAACAUGGAGACAGGAGUAUAGAGGUGUAUUUAAUAUGGAGACAGGAGUAUAGAGGUGUAUUUAAUAUGGAGACAGGAGUAUAGAGGUGUAUUUAACAUGGAGACAGGAGUAUAGAGGUGUAUUUAACAUGGAGACAGGAGUAUAGAGGUGUAUUUAACAUGGAGACAGGAGUAUAGAGGUGUAUUUAACAUGGAGACAGGAGUAUAGAGGUGUAUUUAACAUGGAUUCAGGAGUAUAGAGGUGUAUUUAACAUGGAGACAGGAGUAUAGAGGUGUAUUUAACAUGGAGACAGGAGUAUAGAGGUGUAUUUAACAUGGAGACAGGAGUAUAGAGGUGUAUUUAACAUGGAGACAGGAGUAUAGAGGUGUAUUUAACAUGGAGACAGGAGUAUAGAGGUGUAUUUAACAUGGAGACAGGAGUAUAGAGGUGUAUUUAACAUGGAGACAGGAGUAUAGAGGUGUAUUUAAUAUGGAGACAGGAGUAUAGAGGUGUAUUUAACAUGGAGACAGGAGUAUAGAGGUGUAUUUAACAUGGAGACAGGAGUAUAGAGGUGUAUUUAAUAUGGAGACAGGAGUAUAGAGGUGUAUUUAAUAUGGAGACAGGAGUAUAGAGGUGUAUUUAACAUGGAGACAGGAGUAUAGAGGUGUAUUUAACAUGGAGACAGGAGUAUAGAGGUGUAUUUAACAUGGAGACAGGAGUAUAGAGGUGUAUUUAACAUGGAGACAGGAGUAUAGAGGUGU